rnacentral:rRNA from 1 species
UACGUAGGGUCCGAGCGUUGUCCGGAAUUAUUGGGCGUAAAGGGCUCGUAGGCGGUUUGUCGCGUCGGGAGUGAAAACCCGGGGCUUAACCCCGUGCCUGCUUCCGAUACGGGCAGACUAGAGGUAUGCAGGGGAGAACGGAAUUCCUGGUGUAGCGGUGAAAUGCGCAGAUAUCAGGAGGAACACCGGUGGCGAAGGCGGUUCUCUGGGCAUUACCUGACGCUGAGGAGCGAAAGUGUGGGGAGCGAACAGG